UACAGAGGUCUCAAGCGUUGUUCGGAUUCAUUGGGCGUAAAGGGUGUGUAGGUGGCGCCGUAAGUCGGGUGUGAAAUUUCGGAGCUUAACUCCGAAACUGCAUUCGAUACUGCGGUGCUUGAGGACUGGAGAGGAGACUGGAAUUCAUGGUGUAGCAGUGAAAUGCGUAGAUAUCAAGAGGAACACCUGAGGUGAAGACGGGUUGCUGGGCUGAACACUGACGCUGAGGCGCGAAAGCCAGGGGAGCAAACGGG
rnacentral:rRNA from 1 species